rnacentral:rRNA from 1 species
ACGUAGGGUGCGAGCGUUAAUCGGAAUUACUGGGCGUAAAGCGUGCGCAGGCGGUUCGCUAAGACAGGUGUGAAAUCCCCGGGCUUAACCUGGGAAUGGCGCUUGUGACUGGCGGGCUGGAGUACGGCAGAGGGAGGUGGAAUUCCGCGUGUAGCGGUGAAAUGCGUAGAUAUGCGGAGGAACACCGAUGGCGAAGGCAGCCUCCUGGGCCGGUACUGACGCUGAGGCACGAAAGCGCGGGGAGCAAACAG